rnacentral:rRNA from 1 species
AUUGAACGCUGGCGGCAGGCCUAACACAUGCAAGUCGAGCGGAGCGGCGGACGGGUGAGUAAUGUAUGGGGAUCUGCCCGAUAGAGGGGGAUCACUACUGGAAACGGUGGCUAAUACCGCAUACUAUCGGAUGAACCCAUAUGGGAUUAGCUAGUAGGUGGUGUAAAGGCUCACCUAGGCGACGAUCUCUAGCUGGGCUGAGAGGAUGAUCAGCCACACUGGGCUUGAGACACGGCCCAGACUCCUACGGUAGGCAGCAGUGGGGAAUAUUGGACAAUGGGCGAAAGCCUGAUCCAGCCAUGCCGCGUGUGUGAAGAAGUUCUUCGGAUUGUAAAGCACUUUAAGUUGGGAGGCGUUACCAACAGAAUAAGCACCGGCUAACUCCGUGCCAGCAGCCGCGGUAAUAC